CCUACGGGUGGCAGCAGUGAGGAAUAUUGGUCAAUGGACGAGAGCCUGAACCAGCCACGCCGCGUGAAGGAAGACUGCCCUAUGGGUGUUAAACUUCUUUUAUAUGGAAGUAAAACAGGGAGUGCAUCUCGUCUCGUAUGUACCAUAUGAAUAAGGAUCGGCUAAAUACGUGCCAGCAGCGGCGGUAAUAUGGAGGAUACGAGCGUUAGCUGGAUUUAUUGGGUUUAAAGGGAGCGUAGGUGGAUUGUUAAGUCAGUUGUGAAAGUGUGCGGCUUAACCGUAAAAUUGCAGUUGAAACUGGCAGUCUUGAGUACAGUAGAGGUGGGCGGAAUUCGUGGUGUAGCGGUGAAAUGCGUAGAUAUCACGAAGAACUCCGGUGGCGAAGGCAGCUCACUGGACUGCAACUGACACUGAGGCUCGAAAGUGUGGGUAUCAAACAGGAUUAGAUACCCCAGUAGUC
rnacentral:rRNA from 1 species